CGUUGGCUUGGAUCGUAGCCAUGGAAAAUUCACCAAAGGCAUGAAGGCCAAGAUCCUUAAACCAUGUCGGGCCAUCAACCUGCCCGUGGGCUAUGCUUUUGGGGAUUUUGAUGUGAGAACUUGGACUCUGAAGAUGAAUGAGACGAGGCUUAUAUAAGGGAGUAGAAACCCUAAUAAGUAAGAACGAAUACAAGAUUAGGAGGAAGAGGCCAAAAGGGUAUGGGUCAAAUUACUGGAAAAAGUAAUAGUGGAGUGAGACAACAAAGACAACAGGCUUCCAACUCUUAAACCAGUUCAUCAUCAAGCCGAAUGUUUUGCUUCACUCUAGAGCCUUGAGAGGAGGGAGGAUGAUGAUGUACCUUGAAUGUAGGCAAAAGGAGAGAAGAGGCCAUAAAAUGUAUGUGCGUGUGCGAGUCCCCUACAACAUUAGCUGUCCCAACCAAACAGGUUUGGGUUUUUUUUUUUGGUCAGUCUCUGUCCUUUCUUGGAUCUUACUGUGAGAUAAAGAGGAUGUUUUCUUCAUCCUCCGUUCUAUUUAUUCAUUUAUUUACUAGAAAUGAUUAUCAUAAUGGUGGGUGAGAUUCAGAUUGAAAUAUGGAUGGGUUGAAAUAUGAAAAGCCAAAGGAGGAGAUUUUGGUGUUUUGCCCC